AUGGUCCUGAAUCAAGGCUGGUGGCUUGUUGUAGCCAUGGGUUUCAAACAGGAGCCUAUAGAACCUCUCCCUGUGGUCUGUUAGCUGUGCUAUUACACUUAUAGGCCCAGCUAAUUCAGUUGGGAGAAACAAUU